UAAAUAUAUAAAAAAUAAAUACACGCAUGAAUAAUUGUAUAGGUAAAUAAAUAAAUUAAUAAAUACAUUUCUAAUUUUUUAUAUUUAUUUUUAUUUAUUCAUUUAUAUGUGCAUUUAUUUAUUUUUUCAUUUAUUUAUUCAUUCAUUUAUUUCAACAUUUCUACAUUUAUUUAUUGAUUUAUUGCCACAUUUAUUAAUUUAUUUAUUUCUGUAUUUCUGCAUUUGUAUGAUAGUUAGGUAGGCAGUCCUAUCCUCGCUCUAAAGCAGGAUUGGUUUUUGAGCUGCAAAAGUUUUGGUUCUACUGCUUGUCACUACCCGAUCUGUACCCCCUGCCCGAUUUGUUCCGUGCAUGCGCACGCAUGCGCAUUGCAAACUGAGCAGGGGCACAGAUCAGGUAGGCAAUGCCAAGUUGUGGUUCCGCUCACACUGUCCCAAACAGCUUGUAAAACACGGUUUCAAAAUGAAGGACUUACGUUUUUACAGAGCUCUGAAAGAGUACAUUUUAAGUGGAACAUUUACUCCACCAUGCAACAAAAAAUGCGCAAGGAAAUGCGGCGUGUGUCUGAAAACUUCCUAGCAAAAGACAACCGAUUGUUUUACACUGGACCAAAUAAAACGUAUAUGAGACUAGUUGUUUGUACUG